AUGAACGCUGGCGGCGUGCCUAAUACAUGCAAGUCGAGCGAACAGACGAGGAGCUUGCUCCUCUGACGUUAGCGGCGGACGGGUGAGUAACACGUGGAUAACCUACCUAUAAGACUGGGAUAACUUCGGGAAACCGGAGCUAAUACCGGAUAAUAUAUUGAACCGCAUGGUUCAAUAGUGAAAGACCGUUUUGCUGUCACUUAUAGAUGGAUCCGCGCCGCAUUAGCUAGUUGGUAAGGUAACGGCUUACCAAGGCAACGAUGCGUAGCCGACCUGAGAGGGUGAUCGGCCACACUGGAACUGAGACACGGUCCAGACUCCUACGGGAGGCAGCAGUAGGGAAUCUUCCGCAAUGGGCGAAAGCCUGACGGAGCAACGCCGCGUGAGUGAUGAAGGUCUUCGGAUCGUAAAACUCUGUUAUUAGGGAAGAACAAAUGUGUAAGUAACUAUGCACGUCUUGACGGUACCUAAUCAGAAAGCCACGGCUAACUACGUG
rnacentral:rRNA from 1 species